UUUCUACUCCCUCCGUCCGAAAAUACUUGUCAUCAAAAUGGAUAAAAAGAGAUGUAUCUAAANNNNNAAUACGUCUAGAUACAUUUCCUUUUAUCCAUUUUGAUGACAAGUAUUUCCGGACGGAGGGAGUAUUUG
rnacentral:pre_miRNA from 1 species